UACAGAGGUCUCAAGCGUUGUUCGGAUUCAUUGGGCGUAAAGGGUGCGUAGGCGGCGCGGUAAGUCGGGUGUGAAAUCUCGGAGCUUGACUCCGAAACUGCAUUCGAUACUGCCGUGCUUGAGGACUGGAGAGGAGACUGGAAUUUACGGUGUAGCGGUGAAAUGCGUAGAUAUCAGGAGGAACACCGAUGGCGAAGGCAGGUCUCUGGGCCACUACUGACGCUGAGAAGCGAAAGCAUGGGGAGCGAACAGG
rnacentral:rRNA from 1 species